GUCCACGCCGUAACGAUGGAUGCUAGCCGUCGGCAAGCUUGCUUGUCGGUGGCGCAGCUAACGCAUUAAGCAUCCCGCCUGGGGAGUACGGCCGCAAGGUUAAACUCAAAGGAAUUGACGGGGCCCGCACAAGCGGUGGAGCAUGUGGUUUAAUUCGACGCAACGCGAAGAACCUUACCAGCUCUUGACAUUCACUGAUCGCCUGGGGAGACCUGGGAGUCCUAGCAAUAGGCAGUGGGACAGGUGCUGCAUGGCUGUCGU
rnacentral:rRNA from 1 species